rnacentral:rRNA from 1 species
GACGAACGCUGGCGGCGUGCUUAACACAUGCAAGUCGAACGGAGUGGCGAACGGGUGAGUAUUACGUGAGUAACCUGCCCUCAACUGGGGGAUAAGCCUGGGAAACUGGGUCUAAUACUGCAUAGUGGGGGUUGGGAUCGCGGCCUAUCAGCUUGUUGGUGGGGUGAUGGCCUACCAAGGCGGUGACGGGUGGCCGGCCUGAGAGGGUGAUCGGCAACAUUGGGACUGAGAUCCGGCCCAGACUCGUACGGGUGGCGGCUGUGGGGGAUAUGGCACAAGGGGCUCAAGCCUUAUGCGGCGGUGCCGAGUGGGGUAUGAAGGCUUUCGGGUUGUAAACCUCUUUCGGUACAGAACGGGUAUGUGCAGAAGAAGCGCCGGCUAACUACGUGCCAGCAGCCGCGGUAAUAC